rnacentral:rRNA from 1 species
UACGUAGGGUGCAAGCGUUAAUCGGAAUUACUGGGCAUAAAGCGUGCGCAGGCGGUGAUGUAAGACAGUUGUGAAAUCCCCGGGCUCAACCUGGGAACUGCAUCUGUGACUGCAUCGCUGGAGUGCGGCAGAGGGGGAUGGAAUUCCGCGUGUAGCAGUGAAAUGCGUAGAUAUGCGGAGGAACACCGAUGGCGAAGGCAAUCCCCUGGGCCUGCACUGACGCUCAUGCACGAAAGCGUGGGGAGCAAACAGG